UUCCCACGCUGGGAAUCGAACCCGAGCCUUCUUGGAUGAGAGUCAAGUAUCCUAGCCACUAGACCACGUGAGA